rnacentral:rRNA from 1 species
UUAAAUGAAUUAAGGCUUAUGUUGGAUAGCUUGGUACUUAUAGACGAAGAAGGGCGUAGUAACUGACGAUAUGCUUUAGGGAGCGAGAAACACGCUUAGAUCUAGAGAUUCCCGAAUAGAGUAAUCUUUAAUAACUAUUAUUGAAUUUCUAAAUAAUAUGUAGUGAACUUGGUGAACUGAAACAUCUUAGUAGCCAAAGGAAAAGAAAGCAAAUGCGAUUUCCUUAUUAGCGGUGAGCUAACAGGAAUCAGCCCAAACCUUUUAAGGUGUAGUGGGAAUGAUACUAUAAUAAUAAGAUUUUUGAAGUUGUUGAAUGCAAUACCAUAGAAGGUUGUUAGUCCUGUAAAUAAUUUUUAUUUUUCAUUUUCCCAAGUAGCAUAGAGCACGUGGAAUUCUGUGUGAAUCAGCGAGGACCACCUCGUAAGGCUAAAUACUAAUAAGUGACCGAUAGUGAAUUAGUACCGUGAGGGAAAUGCUGAAAAGAACCCUGAGAAGGGAGUGAAAAGAUCAUGAAAACAUAAGCUUACAAGCAGUAGGAGACUUUUCAAAGUUGACUGUGUGCCUGUUGAAGAAUGCGCUGUCGACUUAUAGGUCGUGGCUUGGUUAAGGUUUUUAUUCCGGAGCCAUAGUGAAAACGAGUUUGAAUAGAGCGUUUGUCACGAUUUAUAGACCCGAACCCGGGUGAUCUAAUCAUGAUCAGGUUGAAGCUCGGAUAAAACCGAGUGGAGGACCGAACCCACCAAUGUUGAAAAAUUGGGGGAUGAAUUGUGAUUAGCGGAGAAAUUCCAAUCGAACUCGGAGCUAGCUGGAUCUCUUCGAAAUGCGUUGAGGCGCAGCGGUUGAUUAAGGUAUUUUUAGGGGUAAAGCACUGUUUCGGUGAGGGCCAUGAAAGUGGUACCAAGCUGUAGCAAACUCAGAAUACUAAAUUUUAUUUCAAUUAACCAGUGAGACUGUGGGGGAUAAGCUUCAUUGUCAAGAGGGAAACAGCCCAGAUCACCAUUUAAGGCCCCUAAAUAAUUGCUAAGUGAUAAAGGAUGUAAUAGUACAUAGACAACCAGGAGGUUUGCCUAGAAGCAGCAAUCCUUUAAAAAGUGCGUAAUAGCUUACUGGUCAAGUGCUUUUGCGCCGAAAAUGAAUGGGACUAAGUAAUUUGCCGAAAGUGUGAGAUUAUAUCGGUAGAAGAGCGUUCUGUAUUAGUGUGAAGCAAUGGCGGGAGCUUUUGUGGACUAUUCAGAAGUGAGAAUGACAGCUUAAGUAACGAAAACAUUGGUGGAAAUCCAAUGCUCCGAAAACCUAAGGAUUCCCUCGCAAGGUUCGUCCACGAGGGGUUAGUCAGGACCUAAAAUGAGGUUUAAAAACAUAGUUGAUGGUUAACGGGUUAAUAUUCCCGUACUGCUUAUUUGUUUUGUUAAAGUUGACGAAGGAGGCUAGUUCGGCCAGUUUUUGGUUAUUAUUGGUUAAAUCUUCAAAGGCGUAGAGAUUAGUUAUAAAAAACUUUUUGAGCUAAUGAGAAAUUACGAUAGGUGUUACGGCACUGAAAGUGAAUGAGGUCAAACUUCCUAGAAAAUACUUGGUAACGUUUAACAGAUAGUACCUGUACCUUAAACUGACACAGGUAGGUUAGUAGAGAAUACUAAGGAGCGCGAGAUAACUCUUUCUAAGGAACUCGGCAAAAUGACUCUGUAACUUCGGGAGAAAGAGUGCCUUAUAUUUAUAAGGCCGCAGUGAUCAGAUCCAAGCGACUGUUUACCAAAAACACAGGUCUCCGCUAAGUUGAAAAACAAUGUAUGGGGGCUGACGUCUGCCCAGUGCCGGAAGGUUAAAGAAAUUGGUUAGCAAUUGCGAAGCUAGUGACUGAAGCCCUGGUGAACGGCGGCAGUAACUAUAACUGUCCUAAGGUAGCGAAAUUCCUUGUCGGGUAAGUUCCGACCUGCACGAAAGACGUAACGAUUUGGAUACUGUCUCAGGAAGAGGCUCGGUGAAAUAGAAUUGACUGUGAAGAUGCGGUCUACUUACACUUGGACAGAAAGACCCUAUGAAGCUUUACUGUAACUUGAAAUUGGUUUUGGAUUUUUUUUGCGCAGGGAAUAGGUGGGAGGCUAUGAACCUCUUUUUCGGAAGAUGGGGAGCUGUAAUGUGAGAUACCACUCUUGAAAAAUUAGAAAUCUAAUGAUAUUUUAAUCAUGAUAUUUGACAGUUUCAGGUGGGCAGUUUUACUGGGGCGGUAGCCUCCUAAAAGGUAACGGAGGCGCACAAAGGUUUUCUCAGGCUGGACGGAAAUUAGUUGUAGAGUGUAAAGAUAUAAGAAAGCUUGACUGUGAGACUUAUAAGUCGAACAGAGACAAAAGUCGGUCUUAGUGAUCCGAAGUUGCUGUGUGGAAAGGACUUCGCUUAUCAGAUAAAAGUUACUCUAGGGAUAACAGGCUGAUCUCCCCCAAGAGUUCACAUCGACGGGGAGGUUUGGCACCUCGAUGUCGGCUCAUCGCAUCCUGGGGCAGUAGUAUGUCCCAAGGGUUAGGCUGUUCGCCUAUUAAAGCGGUACGUGAGCUGGGUUCAGAACGUCGAGAGACAGUUCGGUCCAUAUCCGGUGUAAGCGUUAGAGCAUUGAAAGGAGCUUUCCUUAGUACGAGAGGACCGGGAAUGACACACCACUGAUUUGCCAGUUUUUGUACCAACGGAAAACGCUGGGUAGUCACGUGUGGAGUGGAUAACUGCUGAAAGCAUAUAAGUAGGAAGCCCACCUUAAGAUUAGUGCUCUUUUUUAGGUCACGAUCAGAUUAAUCGUUUUAUAGGUAUUAGGUGUAAGUUUAGUAAUAAAUUUAGCUGAGAUAUACUAAUAGACCGCAAAAUUUAACCUU